rnacentral:misc_RNA from 1 species
AACUUUUAGCAAUGGAUCUCUUGGCUCUCGCAUCGAUGCAGAACGCAGCGAAAUGCGAUAAGUAAUGUGAAUUGCAGAAUUCAGUGAAUCAUUGAAUCUUUGAACGCACCUUGCGCUCCUUGGUAUUCCGAGGAGCAUGCCUGUUUGAGUGUCAUUAUAAAUUCUCAAAGUCUUUUUUAAUAAAAAGACUUUGGAUUUGGAGUGUUGCUGGCUUUAUUUGUUGGCUCCUCUUAAAUGCAUUAGCUUGUACUCUUUGUGGAUAGGCUUUGGUUUGAUAGUAUCUAUGCCAUUGCUUGUGAAACAAAUGCCAGCUUCUAAUAGUCCUUUCUGGACAAACUCUUUGACAUUUUGACCUCAAAUCAGGUAGGACUACCCGCUGAACUUAAGCAUAUCAAUAAGCGGAGGCU